rnacentral:misc_RNA from 1 species
AAGAAAGAAAGAAAGAAAGAGAAGUAUUAUUUUGAGCUAAGUAAUCACAGUUUAAAAAUAAUAUCAAUAUCAGUAUAAAAUAUCAAAAUAGCUCAUAGAUCAAUACAAUUUUACCAAAUUGCAUUGAAGGCCGAAGGACAUUAAAACAAAAGAAACUAAACGAAUACUGCUCAUCAGAAGACUUGUUUCCUCCAAAAAAAA